UACGUAGGUGGCUAGCGUUAUCCGGAUUUACUGGGCGUAAAGAGGGCGUAGGCGGUCUUUCAAGUCGGAUGUGAAAUCUCCCGGCUCAACUGGGAGGGGUCAUCCGAUACUGUUGGACUGGAGGGUAGCAGAGGAAAGCGGAAUUCCCGGUGUAGUGGUGAAAUGCGUAGAUAUCGGGAGGAACACCAGUGGCGAAGGCGGCUUUCUGGGCUAUUUCUGACGCUGAGGCUCGAAAGUGUGGGGAGCGAAC
rnacentral:rRNA from 1 species